rnacentral:rRNA from 1 species
UAAUCUACCCUAGAGUUCGGAAUAACCUGACGAAAGUCGGGCUAAUACUGGAUAGAGCGAUGGAAUCCGUAAUUGGGUUUUUCGGGAAAGGGAGCUCGCAAGAGCCUUCGCUUUAGGAUGAGCCUGCGUCUCAUUAGCUAGUUGGUGGGGUAAUGGCCCACCAAGGCUUUGAUGGGUAGCUGGUCUGAGAGGAUGAUCAGCCACACUGGAACUGAAACACGGUCCAG